GAGAGGGGUAUCUUACUAGGGCUGAUUGGUGACUGGGUUGAAGCUGAACUAGGAGUAGGGUUUGAAGCAGAAGUGGUCUCGAUUGCCAGUCUCUUUCGGCACACAUUUUUCUCCAACCCGCGAACUGAUUUCCUCCUCUGCGGAAGCUUCAUCUUGGGAGCCAUUUGCACAGGCAGGACUAGCACGAAACUUAGGAGAGCAAAUGUGAGG
rnacentral:lncRNA from 1 species